rnacentral:lncRNA from 1 species
UUGUUGUUGUUGUUUUAGAGAGACAGGGCCUUGCUCUUUUGCCCAUGCUGGUCUCAAACUCCUGAGCUCAAGCAGUCCUCUGCCUCAGCAUCCCAAGUAGCUGGGACUACAGGCCUAAUACUUUUUGUGCCUGCUCCUCUCUUCCUGUUUCUACCCCAUCAUAUCUGCUCAGAUCUUCUUAUCAACUACUGCAGCAACCUGCUAAAAUGUCUCUCAAUCUUCUGGAUAAGUCAAUCAACUGCUAAAUGAAUCUUCCCUAAAUUUUACUUUUAUUGAGUUCUUCUGCUCAGAAACCUAUUUUUACUUCUUUCUAGUCCUCAGCAUGGUAUUUCUUUCUUCUAUGUUAAUUGACAGUCUG